rnacentral:rRNA from 1 species
AUGUGGAGGACGGCCAGAGAAGCGAGCGCCUUGGCCGGAGAUGUGGAGGAGGGCGAGGAGAUGUGGCCUGUGCGCAGCGGCGGCGCCGCACACAGGAAGAGGGACAGGGAACGAGAGCUCGCCACGCUCCCCGCCGGCCACCGCGCCAUUGGCCUGAAGUGGGUCUUUAAGAUGAACAAGGACCCAGCCGGCAACGUCGUCACGCCCAAGGCGAGGCUGGUGGCGAAGGGGUACGCGCAGCAACAGGUGGUGGACUUCGACAAGGUCUUCACCCCGGUUGCACGCAUGGAGACCGUGUGCCUACUACUGGCAUUGGUGGCGCACAUCGGCUGGCAGGUGCAUCAUAUGGACGUUAAGUCCGCCUUUUUCAAUGGCAAUCUCGCCGAGGAGGUGUACGUGCUGCACCAGCCGGCCGGCUUCAUCGACGUUGACAACUCGAGCAAGGUGCUCAAACUCUGGAAGGCACUAUAUGGCUUGCGUCAGGCCCUGUGCGCUUGGAACGCAAAGCUGCACGAGACCCUAACCAAGCUUGGGUUUGAGCGACUAUCAAUCUCAGCUAAUGACGAGGGGGCAAGCAGCCGCCGGCUGAUGAUGCAAGCCCUUCCUGGGAUUGAUCCACUCCGGCUCAGCCUACUGGAGGCAAGGCACCCAGCCCAAGCCAGCCUCCACUCGCCGCUAUUCCGUCUCUGA